AGUGAACGCUGGCGGUAGGCCUAACACAUGCAAGUCGAACGGCAGCACAGUAAGAGCUUGCUCUUACGGGUGGCGAGUGGCGGACGGGUGAGGAAUACAUCGGAAUCUACUUUUUCGUGGGGGAUAACGUAGGGAAACUUACGCUAAUACCGCAUACGACCUACGGGUGAAAGCAGGGGAUCUUCGGACCUUGCGCGAUUGAAUGAGCCGAUGUCGGAUUAGCUAGUUGGCGGGGUACAGGCCCACCCAGGCGACGAUCCGUAGCUGGUCUGAGAGGAUGAUCGGCCACACUGGAACUGAGACACGGUCCAGACUCCUACGGGAGGCAGCAGUGGGGAAUGUUGGACAAUGGGCGCAAGCCUGAUCCAGCCAUCCCGCGUGGGUGAAGAAGGCCUUCGGGUUGUAAAGCCCUUUUGUUGGGAAAGAAAAGCAGCAGGUUAAUACCCCGCUGUUCUGACGGUACCCAAAGAAUAAGCACCGGCUAACUUCGUG
rnacentral:rRNA from 1 species